rnacentral:rRNA from 1 species
GACGAACGCUGGCGGCGUGCUUAACACAUGCAAGUCGAACGGAAGGACCCUGCUUGUGUGGGGUGCUCGAGUGGCGAACGGGUGAGUAACACGUGAGUAACCUGCCCUUGACUUUGGGAUAACUUCAGGAAACUGGGGCUACUACCGGAUAGGAGCUCCUGCUGCAGGGUGGGCGUUGGAAAGUUUCGGCGGUUGGGGAUGGACUCGCGGCUUAUCAGCUUGUUGGUGGGGGAGUGGCUUACCAAGGCUUUGACUGGUGGCCGGCCUGGGAGGGUGACCGGCCACAUUGGGACUGCGAGACGGCCCAGACUGCUAUGGGGGGCAGCAGUGGGGAAUAUUGCACAAUGGGCGGACGCCUGAUGCAGCAACGCCGCGUGCGGGAUGACGGCCUUCGGGUUGUAAACCGCUUUCGCCUGUGACGAAGCGUGAGUGACGGUAAUGGGUAAAGAAGCACCGGCUAACUACGUG